ensembl:lncRNA
GGCGCUGGCCCUGGAAUGUCUUCCUCCAGCCCCUCCUGUUUUCUUGUCUCUUGGCCCAGGAAGUCACUGGUGCCUACAGUCUCAUUAUCUCUGCCGAAAUCUGCCUCCUCACUGCUGUUUACAUCUACGUGGUCAUUCCUGAGACCAAGGGCCGAACAUUUGUGGAGAUAAACAGAAUUUUUGCCAAGAGAAACAGAGCGGAGGUUCCAGAGGAGAAAGAAGAAAUCGCAGAUGCUGAGCCUCAUGUACUAUCCCUGUCGGCCACAGAGACUUCCUUUUGUGGCUGUGCACAUCCCCAGGUGCUAAGUUCAAGACUUCCUUCUUUGAGGAAGGGACUCCCUGCCCCAGGCCUCGAGGGAGGGGAACCACCGAGGAAUUUCUGAGCCCCUAGUGGUGGCUAGAAGAUUUUGGAAAAUUUGGUCCCUGAUUUAGUUGAGAAGCACUUAGCUUCCAAUGCUCGCCUGGGGAGGAAUGACCUGGAAGGACAGGCAGACUAUGCCGUUCUCAACUAAACCAGGAUUGACUGAACUGUUUUGGAAGCUUGCCCUUCUCUUCCUUGUCUGAACCCAGAGUCAUAGAUCUUUGUCGGUGGAGGAAACAGAUUGGUCCCAUCUCCUCCAUCGUUUUCAGUAUGUAUCUGCUGCUGCUACUGCUAAGUCGCUUCAGUCGUGUCUGACUCUGUGCAACCCCAUAGACGGCAGCGCACCAGGCUCCCCCAUCCCUGGGAUUCUCCAGGCAAGAACACUGGAGGCAUUCGGGAUCUUAGUUCCCUGACCAAGGAUGGAAACUUCACACCUCUCAAUGGAAGCUCGGAGUCAUAACCACUAGACCGCCAAGGAAGUCCCUACUGUGCUUCAUUUUUACAUCCACAAUUUGAAGCCUUACAUCCUAUUUUUAUUUUACUAACAGUGCCCACAGAGCCCCUGAGGCCCAGGCAGCUGCUCAAAACCACUCUCAGGUGUGUUUCCUUCUCCCUGUGACAGAGGGUGGGACCCACAGGUUGAUCCAUGCACUCAGGGCACACAGAGGCCCCAGGCCAGGCCCCCUCAGCCUCAGACAGCCCUGCCUUGGCCCGGAGCCUGAUGUCUGAGCUUCCUGACCUCAGCUGUGUCCUCACACCCAUUUCACUUUGUGCCUCCCCUACCUGCCCCGCACUUCCAGGAACAGCCCUAGCAAACCUUCUCCUGUGUCCCAGAGGCUCCUGGAGUCAGAUCCAGAGCCCGGUGAAGAGGUGAGACUUAGUAUGUUGGCCUCAGAGCCCACUAACUGCAUGUGGCAGUCCCUCCAGCUCUGUUCUGAAGUCCUCUGAACUCUUGGCUCAGCUGAUAGACCAUGGCCACCACAGAGGAAACCGUUUACAGCACUUUCUCACCUUCUAGACCUUCUUUCAUCACCAUAUCCAUGAACCCUCAAGUCAACAACCUCAGGCUCUCAUCCAUCAAUCCUAGCCCCCCUGGAGCAACCUGUGGUAAACCAGAUUACUCCUAAGU